CUUCGGGCAAAGAGGGCCGCCGGAGCAGAGGGGGCAGAGAAGCAGACCUCUUCAACGCCAGACAAGGCGGCCCGUUGCUACUUCCUGGCG
rnacentral:ribozyme from 1 species